rnacentral:rRNA from 1 species
AGUGAACGCUGGCGGUACGCCUAACACAUGCAAGUCGAACGGCAGCACAGUAAGAGCUUGCUCUUACGGGUGGCGAGUGGCGGACGGGUGAGGAAUACAUCGGAAUCUACUUUUUCGUGGGGGAUAACGUAGGGAAACUUACGCUAAUACCGCAUACGACCUACGGGUGAAAGCAGGGGAUCUUCGGACCUUGCGCGAUUGAAUGAGCCGAUGUCGGAUUAGCUAGUUGGCGGGGUAAAGGCCCACCAAGGCGACGAUCCGUAGCUGGUCUGAGAGGAUGAUCAGCCACACUGGAACUGAGACAGGGUCCAGCCUCCUACGGGAGGGAGCAGUGGGGAAUAUUGGACAAUGGGCGCAAGCCUGAUCCAGCCAUACCGCGUAGGUGAAGAAGGCCUUCGGGUUGUAAAGCCCUUUUGUUGGGAAAGAAAAGCAGCAGGUUAAUACCCCGCUGUUCUGACGGUACCCAAAGAAUAAGCACCGGCUAACUUCGUG